rnacentral:rRNA from 1 species
GACGAACGCUGGCGGCGUGCUUAACACAUGCAAGUCGAACGGAAAGGCCCUGCUUUUGUGGGGUGCUCGAGUGGCGAACGGGUGAGUAACACGUGAGUAACCUGCCCUUGACUUUGGGAUAACUUCAGGAAACUGGGGCUAAUACCGGAUAGGAGCUCCUGCUGCAUGGUGGGGGUUGGAAAGUUUCGGCGGUUGGGGAUGGACUCGCGGCUUAUCAGCUUGUUGGUGGGGUAGUGGCUUACCAAGGCUUUGACGGGUAGCCGGCCUGAGAGGGUGACCGGCCACAUUGGGACUGAGAUACGGCCCAGACUCCUACGGGGGGCAGCAGUGGGGAAUAUUGCACAAUGGGCGGAAGCCUGAUGCAGCAACGCCGCGUGCGGGAUGACGGCCUUCGGGUUGUAAACCGCUUUCGCCUGUGACGAAGCGUGAGUGACGGUAAUGGGUAAAGAAGCACCGGCUAACUACGUGCCAGCAGCCGCGGUGAUACGUAGGGUGCGAGCGUUGUCCGGAUUUAUUGGGCGUAAAGGGCUCGUAGGUGGUUGAUCGCGUCGGAAGUGUAAUCUUGGGGCUUAACCCUGAGCGUGCUUUCGAUACGGGUUGACUUGAGGAAGGUAGGGGAGAAUGGAAUUCCUGGUGGAGCGGUGGAAUGCGCAGAUAUCAGGAGGAACACCAGUGGCGAAGGCGGUUCUCUGGGCCUUUCCUGACGCUGAGGAGCGAAAGCGUGGGGAGCGAACAGGCUUAGAUACCCUGGUAGUCCACGCUGUAAACGGUGGGUACUAGGUGUGGGGUCCAUUCCACGGGUUCCGUGCCGUAGCUAACGCUUUAAGUACCCCGCCUGGGGAGUACGGCCGCAAGGCUAAAACUCAAAGGAAUUGACGGGGCCCCGCACAAGCGGCGGAGCAUGCGGAUUAAUUCGAUGCAACGCGUAGAACCUUACCUGGGUUUGACAUGGAUCGGGAGCGCUCAGAGAUGGGUGUGCCUCUUUUGGGGUCGGUUCACAGGUGGUGCAUGGCUGUCGUCAGCUCGUGUCGUGAGAUGUUGGGUUAAGUCCCGCAACGAGCGCAACCCUUGUUCACUGUUGCCAGCACGUUAUGGUGGGGACUCAGUGGAGACCGCCGGGGUCAACUCGGAGGAAGGUGGGGAUGACGUCAAGUCAUCAUGCCCCUUAUGUCCUGGGCUUCACGCAUGCUACAAUGGCUGGUACAGAGAGUGGCGAGCCUGUGAGGGUGAGCGAAUCUCGGAAAGCCGGUCUCAGUUCGGAUUGGGGUCUGCAACUCGACCUCAUGAAGUCGGAGUCGCUAGUAAUCGCAGAUCAGCAACGCUGCGGUGAAUACGUUCCCGGGGCUUGUACACACCGCCCGUCAAGUCAUGAAAGUUGGUAACACCCGAAGCCGGUGGCCUAACCGUUGUGGGGGAGCCGUCGAAGGUGGGACUGGUGAUUAGGACU